GAUGAAGAACGCAGCGAAAUGCGAUAAGUAGUGUGAAUUGCAGAAUUCAGUGAAUCAUCGAAUCUUUGAACGCACAUUGCGCCCCUUGGUAUUCCAUGGGGCAUGCCUGUUCGAGCGUCAUUUGUACCUUCAAGCUUUGCUUGGUGUUGGGUGUUUGUCCAUUCUCUUGCAGAGGGACUCGCCUUAAAGUAAUUGGCAGCCAGUGUUUUGGUUUUGAAGCGCAGCACAAGUCGCGAUUCACAGCUAUACGCCCGCUUCCACAAGCCUUUUUCACUUUUGACCUCGGAUCAGGUAGGGAUACCCGCUGAACUUAAGCAUAUCAAUAAGCGGAGGA
rnacentral:misc_RNA from 1 species